UGUGGCUAGAGGUAUUUUCCAAAGAUCUGUAUUGGGUCUUUGGAUUUUCUCCAGUUAUAUGAAUGAUUUGAAUGAAGGAAUCCAAAAACAUACAUUCAGAUAACUUUUAGGUUUGGAGGAGAAAGUUGCAGGAAUGAGAUAAGAAGUCAAAGGAACCCAUACAAAUUACGUAAGUAAAUAGACUUAUAGCAGAUAGAGUUCAUUGUGGGGAAAUGUGAGGUUAACCCAUUUUGAAUCUGAGAAAGAAAAAUUGUAAUAUUCUCUUAAUAGUGGGAGACUGGGAGCUGGAGAGGAGAAAUAUGUGAAGCUAACCUCGACAAGGUCUUUUCCUCAGAGUGGGGGAAUCCAAAACUAGAGGACACAGGUUUAAGGGUAAUAGCAACACCAUAGAUUUUCUGUGGGAAUCUACUUGCAGUUAUGCUUGAAAAAUGAACGGCCCACAGAACAAUAUAGGACAGGACAAGCCGCAGCAAAGCCAUCAGAAUGCUGAAACUAAUUCAAACACACACUGGACAGCAAAUGGUGAACCCAAGAGGAAACCUCAGCAGACUAGUG